rnacentral:lncRNA from 13 species
AAGGUGAAGAAUUCAGUUCUUAAAUACACAGUGCUUGUUAACCUAUCUAGAAAAGGAAACGGUCAACUGGAGACUUUGGUUUGUUGCAGAAGCUGUUGGUUUUGAUCUGUUCCUCCUUGGCACCAGGGGAGGUUAGGAAGAGCGAAUCUAAACAAGAUUGGCAAAACGGAGUCCCACUCUAUUUCCCAGGCUGGAGUGCAGUGGCACAAUCUCAGCUCACCACAACCUCUGUCUCUCGGGUUCAAGAGAUUCUCCUGCCUCUGCCUCCCACAUAGCUGGGACUACAGGUGAGCACACCACCAUGCCCAGCUACUUUUUGUAUUUUUAGUAGAGAAGGGAUUUCACUCUGGUCUCACACUCCUGACCUCGUGAUCCACUCACCUCAGCCUCCCAAAGUGUUGGGAUUACAGGUGUGAGCCACCAAGCCCCACCUUUGUCUACUUCUUUUGAAGCUUCUGUGUCCUAACUUUGUGUGGGACAAAUAUAAAUUUGAUCAGCUUGUUAACAACAACCAUAGCAAAACCAAAACAAUAAAGCAUUAUGACUUUUAAUCCUGAAAAAUCUU